UAGGGAAUGGGCUAAUGAUAUGGGUCUGAAAAUGUGUUUCCCAUUUUGAAUGUCUUAUGUCACACAUAAGAUUUAUAAUGUUUAGGGUAAACGCAAAUAGAUGUAAUACAUUCACCGGAUAGAUGUGAAAUUCUAUACAAAUAUACUAAAAAUUUUAUUUGUUGAGAUAUCACUUAUCACGAGUGAUUUGGAUAAGGACAACAUUUUCCUCAUUGUAGUUAUUUACUACAUUUUUACCGUUAACUGGAUGUAUAUUAUAAAUAAUAAAGUAGUGUCCAUACUUAUAUAAUGAGCAGUAACAACACAUUAGACAUUCUAAUAUAUGGUCUAUCGGUGAAGAAGAGUUUGCGUACAGUCAAAGAUGAGUUAUUGUUUGUUCCCGUAGUCUCUGUUAUAUCCUUUUACUUACUUGUUGCAAUAUUUAUUUUUUUUAUUUAUUUACUUAAACGAAAUAAGAACAAAGAAAAAAAUAGAUUUUCAGUUUAUAGUAUAAACACAGAAAAUGAAUUUGAAGUUUAUGAACGUUUUGAAAUAAAUAAACCUUUCAUAUACUGA